rnacentral:rRNA from 1 species
GAUGAACGCUGGCGGCGUGCCUAAUACAUGCAAGUCGAACGAAACUUCUUUAUCACCGAGUGCUUGCACUCACCGAUAAAGAGUUGAGUGGCGAACGGGUGAGUAACACGUGGGCAACCUGCCCAAAAGAGGGGGAUAACACUUGGAAACAGGUGCUAAUACCGCAUAGCCAUAGUUACCGCAUGGUAACUAUGUAAAAGGUGGCUAUACUACCGCUUUUGGAUGGGCCCGCGGCGCAUUAGCUAGUUGGUAGGGUAAAGGCUUACCAAGGCAAUGAUGCGUAGCCGAAUUGAGAGGUUGAUCGGCCACAUUGGGACUGAGACACGGCCCAAACUCCUACGGGAGGCAGCAGUAGGGAAUCUUCCACAAUGGGCGAAAGCCUGAUGGAGCAACGCCGCGUGGGUGAAGAAGGUCUUCGGAUCGUAAAACCCUGUUGUUAGAGAAGAAAGUGCGUGAGAGUAACUGUUCACGUUUCGACGGUAUCUAACCGGAAAGCCACGGCUAACUACGUG